UUUCUUUCAGCUAGAGAAGCUGGUGCCAUUCUACAUGACAAGAAGGAAACUUAAGGAUUGGAGACCUACGAUCUUGUUUCAUUGUGGAGUGGUUCUUACAGGGAAUCAGAUGUGCUCGCAGACUCUGCAAGAUCUUAUAUACACAACUCUCAUCCUAACCUCCUCACUCGAAGCAUGAUAGCAGUGCAGUGACACACAGAGAAUGGGUUUGCAAUUCGAAUGGGUUUGCAAUGCCAUCACUUGAGAACCGAGAGGUAACUCUGCAUGAAAAUCAAUUGUUCAUAUUCCUUUGAAUUGGAUAUUGCAUUGACAAUAGUUUUUUUUAUUGGCCACUUUAUUUAUGCACCAAAACCUGUGAACAAAACAUGUACUAUAGAGAUUUUAUUUACAUCUUGAGUUAUAUCUGAAAUUGAUUUAGUUUAGGGGUUAUCCCUUAAUGAGGCAUGCAACAAUUUUCUUAGUUAUAUGGUGGAAAGGGUGCAUUGUGGAACGAUCCAUUCAAGAAAAUAAUGUUUGUGUUCUUUGUGCAACA